rnacentral:lncRNA from 1 species
AAGGGGGUUAGGUCUGUAACAUCCCAAAAUUUCAAACUUUUACAUGUGCAUUGCAUCCAUGAGCAUCAUGCCACAAUUGCAUAUUUGAAUUCAAAUUUGAAUCUCAAAAGGUUUUAAAAGAUUUUAUUUCAAGUUAAACCCUAGGGUUUACACCCAUCUGAGCUUUGGAUCUUCAAACCAAUAAGGUUUAUUUAUAAAAGGGGUUUAUUGCAUAAAUAAGCUAUCCCAUAAUUUUUAAGAUUUUUUUUGGAGUUGAAAAAGUAUUUUAUUUAAAUAGUUAUAUAGCCCUAAAAGCAUUUAUAGGGAAAAUGUAAUUUUAUAUAUUUUAUUUUGAGGGGGAAUUACUCCCAAAAGUUGAAUCAUGAUAAAACAUGAUUUUAGAAAUUUUUUGGAGUUUAUUUGGGCCAUUUUGGAGUUCAAAAUCAAAAGUUAGAAAAGAUUUAGAGAAAAGGAAAAAGAGAAAAUGUUAAAGGAGAAAAAAAAAAAGGAAACGGACCGGCCCGGCCGAAUUGGGCCGAACCGGCCAAACUUCCCGCGCGCCCGAGCCCGCCCAGCCAGCCCAGCAUGUGCCCACGCCCGCGAGUCACUGAC